CCUACGGGAGGCAGCAGUGAGGAAUAUUGGUCAAUGGGCGGAAGCCUGAACCAGCCAAGUAGCGUGCAGGAUGACGGCCCUACGGGUUGUAAACUGCUUUUAUACGGGAAUAACGCGCCUUACGUGUAGGGCUUUGCAUGUACCGUAUGAAUAAGGACCGGCUAAUUCCGUGCCAGCAGCCGCGGUAAUACGGAGGGUCCGGGCGUUAUCCGGAUUUAUUGGGUUUAAAGGGAGCGUAGGCGGUUUGUUAAGUCAGCGGUAAAAGCUCGGGGCUCAACCUCAGACCGCCGUUGAAACUGGCAGUCUCGAGUUGGAGAGAAGUAGGCGGAAUGCGCGGUGUAGCGGUGAAAUGCAUAGAUAUCGCGCAGAACUCCGAUUGCGAAGGCAGCAUGCCGGCUCCACACUGACGCUGAGGCACGAAAGCGUGGGUAUCGAACAGGAUUAGAUACCCCUGUAGUC
rnacentral:rRNA from 1 species